UCUCAAUGAUAAAAGAAAUAAGAGAAGAGUAAAGUAAAGAAAAGUAGAAUAUGAGUUUGUUGUUAUUGUUGUUUAUGCGAUUGUUAUUUUUGUUUUGUUUUUUACAAAUUGUAAUUGAUAGCAAAAGUGUGUAAUUAAAAGAGUUACCAAUGUGAAAAUUUAUAUAUUAUUCAAACGGGAAUCGGUGCGGGUAUUAAAAUAUAAAUAUAAAAUAAUGCGUACUCUAAUGGAAACAUAAUGGUCGCAGAUUUCCGGUAUGCAGGAAGGACAUUCAAAAGGAAACCACCGGAAGGAAACAUUAAAAUGCUGAUUUAAUGCUUACUUAACAGACGACAAUAAUAACUAAAGGAAAAUCGCCAAAUUGUCAUUGCUUAAGAAAAAAAAGAAAGAAAUUUAUUAAUUCCUGGUAUUUACUACUUUUUUGAUGACAAAAUAAAACAUGACUGUUGAUUGCUUGCUUGUCCUUCUUUCUAUCUCUUGUUCUACAUAAAAACCAAAAGAAAUACAUACAAUGUAAUUUCAUUAUUACCUAGUAUUCACAUCGUUUUUGAUGACGAACUGAAACAUGAUUGAUUUUGCUUGUCCUUUUUUCUUCUGCAUACGAACUGAAAAAAACAUAAAAGAAUUUUAUAGUUUCCAGGUAUUUACUUAUAUUUUGAUGACAAAAUAAAACAAGAUUGUUGUUGAUUGUUUGCCCUUCUUUCUCUUCUUGUUCUACAUACCAAUAGAAAGCAUACAUUGUAAAAUUAUGAGCAUCUGUUACCUAUUUGCUGAAGUAAAACAAUUUUACAUUCUUAUUGUUGGCGACAAAAUAAAACGAGAGUGAUAGAAAGAUAGAUAAAUGAUCUAUCUCCUUUUGCUACUUGUAAAUUAUAUUCACUGUAAGUGUUGUUGUUGUUUUUAAGUUUUUUUGAUUAAUGUGUACUCGCUAUGUAUGUUUUUAAAUUAAUUCUUAGUUAUUCUUUUCUGUUUUUUCUUACUGAAAUUUCUGAUAAACUGGUAUUAAGUAUUUUAUAAAAUAACACUAAGUACAAAAAGAAGGUGUACGUACAUAAAGAUAUAAUAGAUAAUGUAAUUAAGUUGUAUUGCUAUUUUAUUUAGUUCAUUUAGUUAAACCAAUUUUAUAAAAAAUUAAUUUAAAAAAAACAAAUACUCAAACAUAUCAUAAUGUCACAAUCACUUUAAAGUAAUUGAUUAUACCCAAAAAAACAUAUAUGUAAUAUAAAUAAAACAAAACUAAAUAUUAUAUGCUAAAAUUUCUGAACUCCUAUUAAUUCGUCAAUAUUUGUAAGCAAAAUUCUCUAUGAUUUUAAUAUUAUGUAUGUAUGUGUUCGCAAGAAAAUGUGAAAUAAAUAAAUAUAAAAAAGCACUUAUAUUUAUUAAGCUUUUCGAUAAUUAUGUGCGCCUAGUAUUUUAAUAAAAUUUGUUAAGAAUUAUUUAAAAUUUUGCUAUA